AGGGCAAAACAAACAAAGUUCUUUCUGACAGUUUCCGGGAUUUCCAGGAGGCAAGGCUUCUAAGCCAAGAAAAUGGAAUCUGGAUGUUGCACUUUAUGGUAAUACCAAAUUAUUCAAAAUGACUGGUAUUAAUAAAGGCCAGGGAGGCAAAUAUGUGAAAAAAAAAUUUGCUGUUUAUGGUGUUAAGUUAUGCCAAAAACAUUUUUUUCUUUCUAGAUAACAUUGGAUUUUUGAAAUCAUAUUAAAAGUUUGAAGGGGAUAAGGAUAGUUAAAAUAUUAAAUCAUUCUUAACGUAUAUAGCAAGAUGUUUAUAUAAAUGAA
rnacentral:sRNA from 1 species